rnacentral:tRNA from 2 species
GCGGCUGUGGCGGAAUUGGCAGACGCGCUAGACUCAGGCUCUAGUGGGCACUUAAGCUCGUGGAGGUUCAAAUCCUCUCAGCCGCACCA